UACGGAGGGUGCGAGCGUUGUCCGGAAUCAUUGGGCGUAAAGGGCGCGUAGGUGGCCCGGUGAGUCUUUGGUGAAAGCGCGGGGUUCAACCCUGCGUCGGCCAGGGAUACUGCCGCGGCUCGAGCACUGUAGAGGCAGGCGGAAUUCCGGGUGUAGCGGUGGAAUGCGUAGAGAUCCGGAAGAACACCUGAGGCGAAGGCGGCUUGCUGGGCGUGAUCUGACGCUGAGGCGCGAAAGCGUGGGGAGCGAACAGG
rnacentral:rRNA from 1 species